rnacentral:rRNA from 1 species
AUGUCGGUGGCCGUGUGCCGUGGCCCGGCCGUGCCGGCGUUCGAGACCCCCGCCUGGCUGCGCCCGGCUGAGCUGUACAAGCCGGAGGCGGCGGUGGCCGACGACCGGCCUGCACAGGUCGACGUAUGGAAUGCCAUCCAGGCCGACGUGGUCGACAGCAAGGCGGCCGCCGCCAAGAAGCCGUACGUCAGCCCGCGCGUGCGCCGGUCCAUGAGCCAGAAGAGCCUCGAGGUCUGCACCGAGAGCCUCGGCUGCGAGACCGGCUCCAGCGACUUCACCGACGCCGUCGACAUGGCCUGCCUCUUUGGUGCCUCGCCGCUGCCGACGGCGCCCGGCGAGGCAGAGGAGUCCUUCUGGGAGGAGAGCAGUGCCGCACAAGAAAGCUGCUACCCGGGCGAGGUCGACCUCGUGGCGGUGAACUACCACUCCUCGGCCGGGAGACGGUCGCCGCGCCGCUCGUUCCCGCCGCCGCUGCCGUCCAUGUCCAGCCGCGACGGGCCGUGCCUGAAGAUGUGCUCGCGCCGCCAGGACGGCCGCCUCGUCGUCGAGGCGGUGGUGGUGAGGCCGCGCGGGUACCUCCAGGCGAACCGCCAGGGCGGCCGCCUCUGCCUCUCCUUCAUCGAGUGCUCUGCCCGUGGGCAGAGCGGUACGAGCAAGAGCGCGGCCCCGGCCGAGGCGUCCUACUUCGUCCCGGUCGUGGAGGGCAAGUGCGAGCCAGAGCAGGGGGUGGCCAUGCAGGUGGAGGAGGAGGAGGAGGAGGAAGACGAGGAGGAGGUGGAGGUGGUGGACAGAGGCACCAUGGUGGAGGUGAAGGUCAGCUCGCAGCCGCAGGCGCCCGCGGCCGCCAAGGUGCACCGGUCGACGCUCGUGAUCAACAAGUUCGUCGGGAGCACGCCCUUCACCUUGGAGCAAGCGCGGUGCCACGCCGCCGACGCGCCGCACCCCGAGCCGUCCGCCCGCGAGGAAACCCCAACGCUGCUGCGCCGGGUGCCCUCGUCCACGACGACGCUCGCGGCCGCGGUCGCGGUGGCGUCGACCGAGACGGGCGCGCCGCACGCUCCCGUCGACGGCGACGACAGUGACGAGGAGGACGAGGACGAUGAGUGCGGCGGACGGCACCACCGCGCGUCGGCCCUGGCCGCCGCGGACACGAAGCAGCAGCUCCUGCUGUUCACGUCGCGGCGGGGCGACAAGCACGACCUGCUGCAGAGCGUGCGGCGGUGCCGGCAGCUGCGGCAGAAGCCGCUCUUCAUCCUGGAGCAGUACUGCAUUGCCACCUCCUAA